rnacentral:lncRNA from 12 species
GAGGUCACUGGCCAAAGGUAAGCCCAAAAUGUUUUUUUUAUUUUUUUCAGAAUGGUAAUUUUUUGAAGGAAAAGAAGUGGAGAAGGGGCAAAUGCCCUGAGAACCCGGCCUUCAUUUGCAUCUGCAUAGACAAAACCAGAUAGAUGGUUGGGAGCCUGGAAAAAGACUUACCACAGACAGGGGUGCCUGGGCAGAUGCAGAGAAAACACCAUGUCCUCCACACUUCUGUUGGGGAAGUGCCUCACUCUUCAUUUCUACUUCGUUAGAAGCUGCCCAGUGCUGCUUCUUCCCCAUCUCCUCAGCAUUUUAGUGACAAUAACUGAUAUAAGUUCAUCAUUUUUCAGGUUCAAGCCAGGAAGAAAAGAAGAGUGAUAUGGAGAAGAGGGCAUUUUGACACACCAGUGAGUCAGGCUGACCCUAAGCAAGAUGAUUCUAGUUAAAAUGGGUUUGAAGCCAUAUGGCUGAGCUACUGACAGGUCUCUAUUUUUACCAUCUCUAGCAUAUUUUCUACCUAGGAGUGGGGGCAUAGCUGAGUUGAUAAAAUAAGUAGCCUUGUGAAUUUUAUGUGUGAGUAUAUACAAAACUACAAUAAUAUGACUGCAUCUAGAACACAAAUAUUUAUGAAUGCUAAUAAAACUGUCUAAGACUCUGGGCUCA